GGCUCUGUAGCUCAGAUGGUAGAGCGUCCGCCUGAAAAGUGGAAGGUCACCGGAUCGAUACCGGUCGGAGCCACCA
rnacentral:tRNA from 1 species